rnacentral:rRNA from 1 species
ACUUAGUGGCAGACGGGUGAGUAACAUGUGGGUAUCUACCCUUUGGCCUGGAAUAACACGAGGAAACUUGUGCUAAUACCGGAUAAGUCUUUACGGAGAAAGCUUUAUGCACCAUUGGAUGAGCCCGCACUUGAUUAGUUUGUUGGUAGGGUAAUGGCCUACCAAGACUAUGAUCAAUAGCUGAUUUGAGAGGAUGAUCAGCCACAUUGGGACUGAGACACGGCCCAAACUCCUACGGGAGGCAGCAGUGGGGAAUCUUGCACAAUGGAGGAAACUCUGAUGCAGCGAUGCCGCGUGAGUGAAGAAGGCCUUUGGGUUGUAAAGCUCUUUCGUCGGGGAAGAAAAUGACUGUACCCGAAUAAGAAGGUCCGGCUAACUUCGUGCCAGCAGCCGCGGUAAUACGAAGGGACCUAGCGUAGUUCGGAAUUACUGGGCUUAAAGAGUUCGUAGGUGGUUGAAAAAGUUGGUGGUGAAAUCCCAGAGCUUAACUCUGGAACUGCCAUCAAAACUUUUCAGCUAGAGUAUG